GCACGAUGCGACGCUUUGGCGAUUUAGCUCCAUGACGUUGCGUGUAUGCUCAUAAAGCUAGAUUACCAAAGCAUCGCGUCGAUGC
rnacentral:pre_miRNA from 1 species